UACGGAGGGUGCGAGCGUUGUUCGGAAUCACUGGGCGUAAAGGGCGCGCAGGCGGUUUUACAAGUCAGACGUGAAAGCCCACGGCUCAACCGUGGAAGUGCAUUUGAAACUGUAAGACUUGAGUACCAGAGGGGAAAGUGGAAUUCCCGGUGUAGAGGUGAAAUUCGUAGAUAUCGGGAGGAAUACCGGUGGCGAAGGCGACUUUCUGGCUGGAUACUGACGCUGAGGCGCGAAAGCGUGGGGAGCAAACAGGAUUAGAUACCCCCGGUA
rnacentral:rRNA from 1 species